UGACAUGUAACCAGGGUAUUUAUACCUAACAUAAAUUGGUCCUUCGAGCCAGAUUCCAACAUGCCUGCAGUUUCCAGGGGAGGAACGGACAUCAGAAGACCGUGGCCACGGCAGAGUCUCACAUAUUCAUUCCAGGACUGAUCUCCACCCUGCCUGCUGGGACCCAAUGGCUGAUGGAAAGGAGCGAAGGAGACAAGAGUCUAGAGUACAUUCCAUACAAGAACACAGUUCUGGACAGAGAAGCAGAAGUGGCAACAUCAGCCGGUUUGGUCCGGUUCUAAUCACUUCUUACGACAAACAAAGUGAAGGUAUAUAAAGUCUGUGUUUCCAUCUCUGAGACAUCCUGUGACCAGAAACUGCUGCUGGAACAGACUCUUCAACUAACCAUCAGAACAAGAUGGCUGCCGGUCUUCUCUUCUCUCUGCUUCUUGGUCUGAGCUUUGGACUCUGGGAUGGAGCUGAUGCCGGAUGUCGACUGAAAGUUGCCGACUGUGAGGAGUGCACUCAUGGUUGGAGAUGGUAUGAGGGUCGGUGUUUCCUGUAUGUGAAGGUUAAAAUGACCUGGGGUGAUGCAGAGAGAUUCUGCCUUUCAUUGGAUGCAAAUCUGGCCUCAAUAAACACUUACAUGAGUACCACUUCAUCAGAGACUUACCUUAAAUUCAACUGGA